rnacentral:rRNA from 1 species
AGGAAUAUUGGUCAAUGGACGAGAGUCUGAACCAGCCAAGUAGCGUGCAGGAUGACGGCCCUAUGGGUUGUAAACUGCUUUUAUAAGGGAAUAAAGUUAGUCUCGUGAGACUUUUUGCAUGUACCUUAUGAAUAAGGACCGGCUAAUUCCGUGCCAGCAGCCGCGGUAAUACGGAAGGUCCGGGCGUUAUCCGGAUUUAUUGGGUUUAAAGGGAGCGUAGGCCGGAGAUUAAGCGUGUUGUGAAAUGUAGAUGCUCAACAUCUGAACUGCAGCGCGAACUGGUUUCCUUGAGUACGCACAAAGUGGGCGGAAUUCGUGGUGUAGCGGUGAAAUGCUUAGAUAUCACGAAGAACUCCGAUUGCGAAGGCAGCUCACUGGAGCGCAACUGACGCUGAAGCUCGAAAGUGCGGGUAUCGAACAGGAUUAGAUACCCUGGUAGUCCGCACGGUAAACGAUGGAUGCCCGCUGUUGGUCUGAAUAGGUCAGCGGCCAAGCGAAAGCAUUAAGCAUCCCACCUGGGGAGUACGCCGGCAACGGUGAAACUCAAAGGAAUUGACGGGGGCCCGCACAAGCGGAGGAACAUGUGGUUUAAUUCGAUGAUACGCGAGGAACCUUACCCGGGCUUGAAUUGCAGAGGAAGGAUUUGGAGACAAUGACGCCCUUCGGGGCCUCUGUGAAGGUGCUGCAUGGUUGUCGUCAGCUCGUGCCGUGAGGUGUCGGCUUAAGUGCCAUAACGAGCGCAACCCCUCUCCUUAGUUGCCAUCAGGUUAAGCUGGGCACUCUGGGGACACUGCCACCGUAAGGUGUGAGGAAGGUGGGGAUGACGUCAAAUCAGCACGGCCCUUACGUCCGGGGCUACACACGUGUUACAAUGGCAGGUACAGAGAGACGGUCCCUUGCAAAACGGAUCAAAUCCUUAAAGCCUGUCUCAGUUCGGACUGGGGUCUGCAACCCGACCCCACGAAGCUGGAUUCGCUAGUAAUCGCGCAUCAGCCAUGGCGCGGUGAAUACGUUCCCG